rnacentral:rRNA from 1 species
AGUGAACGCUGGCGGUAGGCCUAACACAUGCAAGUCGAACGGCAGCACAGUAAGAGCUUGCUCUUACGGGAGGCGAGUGGCGGACGGGUGAGGAAUACAUCGGAAUCUACUUUUUCGUGGGGGAUAACGUAGGGAAACUUACGCUAAUACCGCAUACGACCUACGGGUGAAAGCAGGGGAUCUUCGGACCUUGCGCGAUUGAAUGAGCCGAUGUCGGAUUAGCUAGUUGGCGGGGUAAAGGCCCACCAAGGCGACGAUCCGUAGCUGGUCUGAGAGGAUGAUCGCCCCCAGGGGACCGGAGACGCGGCCCGGAUCCCUGAGGGAGGCAACAUGGGGGAAUUUGGAAAAAUGGGCACAAGCCUGACCCAGCCAAUCCGGGGGGGGGAAGAGGGCCUUUGGGUUGUAAAGCCUUUUUUUUGGGAAAAAAAACCAGCAGGUUAAUCCCCCUCUUUUCUGGGGGUACCAAAAGAAUAAGCACCGGCUAACUUCGU